AGGAACAGAGACAAUAGGUUUGAUGAGUUUUCGUCUUCUUGUAGUUGCAGUGGCUCGUUGUGCACACUACUCCCGAAAUGCUGCUUCUGGACUAUCUGGAGAUAUGUCAUUGUUGUCUGAGGUGAGUUCACACGCAUUUGUUAUGACCCUCAUGACUUUGUAGUUUUGGUUUUUGCCACUUUUCCGCUGGAAGGCCCUAAUAAUGUCCCAGAAUUUAUCUUGAGGAAAAAAUUGAUGACCCCAGGUUCUAUGGCAAGACAGAGGAGGAAGAGAUUUUCUUGGGUUAAAAGUUGGUUUUAUUCUUUGUUCGCAAUGCCAGGUAGUUCUCCUCAGUAUAAUAUGUCCGAAACUAGGUGAGUCGCAUUAUUGGUGUGUCGAAUUCCUGAUUGGAGUGAAUUAUGCAGAUAUAAUGUUUGGUUGACAAUCGAUUGCGUGCUGUUUUAAUAAGCUUGGAUGCAAGAUGCAGGCAUGGCAUCUCUGCAACGAUUCUUUUCUGGAGGGCACGAGCUCCAUGGACAAGACUGGAAUCAUCUUCACCUUUCUCAGAGUGUGUUUUGUGAGCAGAACGUCAUUUCAGUUGAGUUCAGCAUGGUCCUUAAAUGGACUUUCCACUUCCGGUUGUGUGGCUACUUAACCAUGACUGCAAAAUCGACUCGUUAGAGCUUAAUCUGUACGCAAUCCAACCCGAUUACUCAAGUCCUUUUCCCGACUGCACGUAUACAGUGAAAUUAAUGACUGCCUUCGACAGCGGGUAAUUUCGUUAUGGACCAAUUAGCUUCCUUUGCAGCAAACUUCAGGGACUACAAAUCUCAAACAUUAAGUUUCGAAUUCUCCAAUUGUAGGACUCGAGGUUCAGUUGGCAAGGGAUUCUUGCAGGAGAGAAUCAUCUUAUUGAGUAUUUACGGCCAUGUGCAGUGGAUUCCAGACAGAGUUAGGGUCGCUGAAAUCAGCUCUUACAUGUAAUUCAUUCUGCCCUGCGAUUAAACAU